GUGACCAAUUAACUUCUAAAAAUAAAAAAUAAAUUUAUUUGUUCAACUUUACUCAAAAAGGAGGCUAGUACUUUGGAACGAUCGUCUUGAGCGAGCGAGCACCGAUCGUCGUCUUCGGCGAGAGUGAGCGAACAAGCAUCGACCGUCUUCUUCAAUGAGAGCGAGCAGCGAUCGUCUUCUUCAUCGAGAGCAAGCAGCGAUCGUCUUCUUCGUCGAGCGAGCGAGUGUCCUCUUUGUCUCUGUGGUUUUGAUUUCUAGGUUUUAUCCUAAUUUCAGGUUUCAUCUGGAAGCUUCUCUGCUCUCAAUUACCCAGAGUGUUUUAGAAUGAGAGAAAUGGUAUAUCCCUCUCAUACGGAUCAUCUACAUACAUAUGUUGCAUUGCAUAGUAAAGAAGAAGCAGAGAAUAACUAUCUAAACUCGUUUUCAUCUGGAUACAAAGAAGAAGCACUGUAGCAGAGGCAGUCAUGGACUAAUACUCUGGUUCCACAAGCUGCCACUACGACAAAAAAUGUUUUAAGUCUCAAGAGUUUUGGCUCCAAAGGCUUGGUUGUGUUCUCAUCCAUCUGAAGAUGCUCCAGAUGAUAUAGAAGGGUUGGAUGCUUCUGCAGCACAUGUUGCCUCCUUGCCGCUUUUGUUAUGCCAUGGAAAAUGUUCUGCUGUGAAAUUUACGCAGACUUUGAGUUCAACUGGCUAUCAGAACAUGGCAUUCAAAGCCUACAAUGGGCUUGGUCAUCCUGGAUCAGUUAUCCUCGACUUCAUCAUCAAUGAGGAAUGGGCUCAUAAGCAUUACACAACAAAAGUAUCAAGAGGGGCCAUCUCAACAAUGGAGAAACUUCUACUAAUUCAGGAUGCAAACUACAACUAAUUCAGGAUGCGGAAUACAUUUAUCAAUUUAUUUUUAGAUUUUGUUUUUGAGAGAUACAUGUCUUGUGAAUUUGUUGGGGGAAUGUUGAUACAUAUAUAGUUUUUUUUAAAUGAUAUAUGAUGCCCAUUUUGUUAUUU